CUACGGGAGGCAGCAGUAAGGAAUAUUGGUCAAUGGACGCAAGUCUGAACCAGCCAUGCCGCGUGAAGGAUGAAGGUCCUCUGGAUUGUAAACUUCUUUUAUAUGGGACGAAACCCGGGUAUUCCUACCCGAUUGACGGUACCAUAGGAAUAAGCACCGGCUAACUCCGUGCCAGCAGCCGCGGUAAUACGGAGGGUGCAAGCGUUAUCCGGAUUCACUGGGUUUAAAGGGUGCGUAGGAGGGUAGGUAAGUCAGUGGUGAAAUCUCCGGGCUCAACUCGGAAACUGCCGUUGAUACUAUCUGUCUUGAAUACCGUGGAGGUGAGCGGAAUAUGUCAUGUAGCGGUGAAAUGCUUAGAUAUGACAUAGAACACCGAUUGCGAAGGCAGCUCACUACACGAAUAUUGACUCUGAGGCACGAAAGCGUGGGGAUCAAACAGGAUUAGAUACCCCGGUAGU
rnacentral:rRNA from 1 species